AACUUAAGGUUUCUGUUCUUUUCUUUUCCUUCCUAAACUCCAAAACUAGCCAUAAAUCAUUUGCAUGCACUUCAUUUCAUACUUGCAGAAGUAUGAAUUAAAGCAGCAGCUAUGUUCAGUGAAAGAGAACUGUCACCAAAAAGCAGGGGCCAAACAGAAACAUUAGACUUGAGAGCGAGGUUCGAGCAAAGUGACAUAAUUAACAGUGAUGGAGAAAUUGAAAGCUACAGACCCCUGGUGCAUAUUCCUGAAGAUGAGAACAGGGCUGUGCUAGAUUGGAGGGUGAAAAUGUUGUAGGACAUACCCAAUGACAAAAAGGAUAACCUUUUUGCGUGAUCAGUAGUAAUGAAUGACAAUUUUUUGUUGUUUCUAUCUAGCUUUGUUGCAGUGUCAUUAACAAUAUAAAAACUUAUGAGACACUAGUUAAUAAUUUACUUAACUGAUGGUAAUGUUAUUUCACACUUUGGCAUUAUUCACACUAGACCCAGUAAAGCAGAGCAGUCUUUGGCAUUGUUCACACUGGAUGCCUUAUUACUCUAAACUUGGAGAGGCACGAAACCUGUUAAUAGCGCAAAGGUCUGAACUGGAUGUGACUAGGUCACAGAUAAAUCAAAUUUAUGAGAAGUUGGCUGGUCAUGUACCACAUGACUGAUGGUAAUGUUAUUUCAUUCUUGGAAUCCCAUUGCCAUUGUGGCAGUUUAAUUUGCUCA